rnacentral:SRP_RNA from 1 species
UGGAGCGGCAAGGUAGCCAGAUCUCGGAGCUGCAAUUCAAACCCCUGCCUGGCUUGCCCCACGCCCGCAUGGUGCGGGACUCCGCACGGCACUGGCAGGCGUACGAUGCGUUUGCGCGCGUCGCGAUGAACUUGGGGACGAUCUUGCAG